rnacentral:rRNA from 1 species
GUGCGGACGGGAUAAAUGCUGAAAGCAUCUAAGCAUGAAGCCCCCUCCAAGAUGAGAUUUCCCUUUGAGUAAUCAAGAAAGACCCCUCAGAGACGAUGAGGUAGAUAGGUCACGGGUGGAAGCAUGGUGACAUGUGGAGCUGAGUGAUACUAAUCGGUCGAGGCCUUGUUCUA